UCCAGCAGCCAUAUCACUCUGCAACUCACAACUGGCAACCCAGUGAAGUUAAGUAGGUGUGAGCCUGGUCAGUACCUGGAUGGGAGACCUCCUGGGAAAAACUAAACUAAGGUUGCUGCUGGAA
rnacentral:rRNA from 1 species